rnacentral:rRNA from 1 species
AGACCCGAAACCCGGUGAUCUAGCCAUGGGCAGGUUGAAGGUUGGGUAACACUAACUGGAGGACCGAACCGACUAAUGUUGAAAAAUUAGCGGAUGACCUGUGGCUGGGGGUGAAAGGCCAAUCAAACCGGGAGAUAGCUGGUUCUCCCCGAAAGCUAUUUAGGUAGCGCCUCGUGAAUUCAUCUCCGGGGGUAGAGCACUGUUUCGGCUAGGGGGCCAUCCCGGCUUACCAACCCGAUGCAAACUGCGAAUACCGGAGAAUGUUAUCACGGGAGACACACGGCGGGUGCUAACGUCCGUCGUGAAGAGGGAAACAACCCAGACCGCCAGCUAAGGUCCCAAAGUCAUGGUUAAGUGGGAAACGAUGUGGGAAGGCCCAGACAGCCAGGAUGUUGGCUUAGAAGCAGCCAUCAUUUAAAGAAAGCGUAAUAGCUCACUGGUCGAGUCGGCCUGCGCGGAAGAUGUAACGGGGCUAAACCAUGCACCGAAGCUGCGGCAGCGAACGUAUCACCCAAGACAACUUUACGGAGUUGACGAUUGACGGAGCGAAGCGACGUCAAAGCGUUCAUUAAAGUCGAGUUGGCUUAGGGGUACGUUCGUUGGGUAGGGGAGCGUUCUGUAAGCCUGUGAAGGUGUGUCGUGAGGCAUGCUGGAGGUAUCAGAAGUGCGAAUGCUGACAUAAGUAACGAUAAAGCGGGUGAAAAGCCCGCUCGCCGGAAGACCAAGGGUUCCUGUCCAACGUUAAUCGGGGCAGGGUGAGUCGACCCCUAAGGCGAGGCCGAAAGGCGUAGUCGAUGGGAAACGGGUUAAUAUUCCCGUACUUGGUGUUACUGCGAAGGGGGGACGGAGAAGGCUAUGUUGGCCGGGCGACGGUUGUCCCGGUUUAAGCGUGUAGGUGUGUGUUCCAGGUAAAUCCGGUUCACUUUAACACUGAGGCGUGACGACGAGGCACUACGGUGCUGAAGCAACAAAUGCCCUGCUUCCAGGAAAAGCCUCUAAGCAUCAGGUAACAUCAAAUCGUACCCCAAACCGACACAGGUGGUCAGGUAGAGAAUACCAAGGCGCUUGAGAGAACUCGGGUGAAGGAACUAGGCAAAAUGGUGCCGUAACUUCGGGAGAAGGCACGCUGACACGUAGGUGAAGUGAUUUACUCAUGGAGCUGAAGUCAGUCGAAGAUACCAGCUGGCUGCAACUGUUUAUUAAAAACACAGCACUGUGCAAACACGAAAGUGGACGUAUACGGUGUGACGCCUGCCCGGUGCCGGAA